CAAAACCAUAUAUGUGGAUAUAUGUGGUGGAAUAUACCUGAACAAGACAUCAUGACAGAAUUGUAUGAGAAGAGAUAAUCAUUAUUUGGGUGGAAUUGGAGGGGGCAAAGGGGCUAUGGUCAACUCAUCCCCAGCGGUCGCUGCUCACGCAGAAGGUGAAGAGAUCGAGGUGCUAGAGAGCACCAAUGUCCUUCCUGUAGCUCCAGAGGACCAAUGGAAGUCUCUUUUUGACAAGGGUCCGACUUCGUUGUGUCACAGUCACCAGCUCAGUCAUGUCUGCACUACACUUCCCAUCAUCCCUCCUGCUACUCACUGCACUCCCUCUGCAACCACCCAUACCUGACACCAAUUCAGCUCCUUAGCAGCCACUAUACUUAAGCACACACCUUGAUGCUCAUAGUUAUCUGGUCUUGUUUGAGUAAAGAAUGCUUACCUGUAUUACAAAUUACAAUAGCGGUAUUCCAACGUAUUUUCCAAGUUCCUGUUCUCCGUGUCUCCAAGUCUUCCCACUUUGUGUGUUCCAAGUGUUCUACUUACCUCCUUACUCACCAACAUCCAUUCGAGGUGUGUGCUCGAUCCUCUGUCCAGAAGUCCACAAUAGUGAUGCAAAGUCUAAUUCAUUUCCGCGAGCCAGUUUUUUUUUUUUUGGACAGUUUGGAUCAUUGAACCAGAUCAAAAAGCAUAUUUGCAACUCAGUGCCAUGUUGUUUCAAUGAACCAUAAAGUAAUUUGUGUCAACACAUAUUGAAACAUUCAAAUAAAAAGUUAUUUGUGUGAAUGCAUAUUGCUGAUUGUUGCCUUUCAUUCACUUAAGUAAAUGGUGUUUGUGGUCACAGUUUCAUUCACAGAUCCUUUGUGUCAGAUACGACUGACCAGUAUUGACUAGCCUACAACUUCCUAAAAGUUUCACACCUACAGCACACAUUACAGACACUGAUAAACAAACACGGAUAUGUUCUACAUGUCUAAUGUAUAAAGAAAGAAUAAAAGAAUCCUCUGCAAACUUUGACAGUUAGUUGAACUGGCUCAUUCGGUUCUUUUUGAGUCAGACGUGGUACUUCGGCUGUGUGUCCUGCAUCAUCAACCCAGAACUAAAGUUCAAUUCAGUUUGACUGGCUAGACUGGUUACUUCCUGAGAACCGGCUCAAACGAACGAUUCGUUCAAGAAUCAAACAUCACUAGUCUAUGAUCUCUACCUCACCUGCAAAGAAAGUAAUGUCCAUUACCGUUUCAUCUUUCCAUUGAACUUUACAAAGUACUAUUUAUUCACAUGCAUCUGUUUAACCUUCCAUGCUGCAAUUAACUUGUUAUUGUUAGGGUCCGACUUCGUUGUGUCACAGUCACCAGCUCAGUCAUGUCUGCACUACAAUUCCCAUCAUCCCUCCUGCUACUCACUGCACUCCCUCUGCAACCACCCAUACCUGACACCAAUUCAGCUCCUUAGCAGCCACUAUACUUAAGCACGCACCUUGAUGCUCAUAGUUAUCUGGUCUUGUUUGAGUAAAGACUGCUUACCUGUAUUCCAAGUUCCAGCAACAAUAUUCCAACGUAUUCUCCAAAGUCCUGUUCUCCGUGUCUCCAAGUCUUCCCAUUGUGUGUUCCAAAGUGUUCUGCUUACCUCUUUACUCACCAACAUCCACUCGAGGUGUGUGCUUAAUCCUCUGUCCAGAAGUCCACAAUCUCCACCGCACCUGCAAAAAAAUGUCCAUUACCAUUUCAUCAUCCCGUACAAUUUUACAAAGUACCAUUUACUCAUCUGCAUCUGUUUACCCUGCCAGGCUGCAAUAAACUUCUUAUUGUUGAACUGCAAACCAUCUCUCUGAGUCAUUACGUGACAGGUUGAUUAUCUUUUUCACACAUUGUAUAAUUAAUUUUUUAUGUAAGGAAUAAUUGACAACAAUCAAUUGAAUUAAUAAAAAAUAAUGCAUACCUGAGGUGGUAAUGCUGUUGCCAGUUUUAUCUAUUUUUGUCCCGCCAUGAAAAUAUUUCCAAAAACUUGCCAAAGCAGAACUAACUGUUGUGUGUCUCUGAGCAAUGCUGGUGUUUUGUUCCUGAAUGGAGCCGUGUUUUUGCACAGUUGAGAGAAAGAUUUACAUUUUUCCUUUCUCUUUGGUGUGUUACAAGCUCUUGGUGCUUAAAGAAGAUCUGUAAAGUUACAAAGACU